rnacentral:rRNA from 1 species
AUGCUUAUAUACAUUUGGUCAUGUUGUGCAGGAAAAAAGAUGCCGAAGAAGCAUGUGCCGAAGCCUAUCAAGGGUGCUGUAGGUGGUCUUGUUAGCUGCCACAACUGUGGCACGAAUACCCUCUACAGCAUAGAAGCAAUGCUGAUGCACCAAAACUGGUGCAAGGGUGCAAAGGCAAAGGCCGACACCAAAGCUAAGAAAAAGCAGGCCCUUAAGUGUCCUCGGGACGUAUACGGUCGAUACGGGGUUAGCAACCACUGUUACCUAUCAUUUCUUUCACUUGAUGCCCAGUUGGGCGGGAUGUAUAUGUACUGCUAG